CAGCAGCCACGGGAAUACGGAGGGUGCAAGCGUUAUCCGGAUUCACUGGGUUUAAAGGGUGCGUAGGCGGAUCUGUAAGUCAGUGGUGAAAUCUCCAGGCUUAACCUGGAAACUGCCGUUGAUACUAUAGGUCUUGAAUUUUGUGGAGGUUAGCGGAAUAUGUCAUGUAGCGGUGAAAUGCAUAGAUAUGACAUAGAACACCAAUUGCGAAGGCAGCUGGCUACACAACUAUUGACGCUGAGGCACGAAAGCGUGGGGAUCAAACAGGAUUAGAUACCCGCGUAGUCCCUGUCUCUUAUAC
rnacentral:rRNA from 1 species